UUGACAUCGCGUGAGUUGGACACUGCUUACAUGCGUUCAAAUCUUGCUCGUUGGACAGAAGAUUUCUUGGAAAUUCAGUUGCGACGAUGAACCACAAACGUUCGAAGAAUUAAAUACCAGCUGAGCACUGGGGCAAUGUAAUCGACUUAGCCUCUUCUCCGGAAUUUUUGCGACGUUCUAACGAUUCUGCAGCGUGAUGAGGAGCGACACCUGUCAUUGGUCAUUCCCAGCUGAAGGAGGAACAGCGUUUGGUCGGUUCUAGCUUGAGAGAAUCUUUUGGAAUCGGUGUCAUCAUACUUUGGCAGGGAAUUAUGAACACACGGGUUUCCCUGAAACGUUCUU